UGUCGACCAAACCAGUACAGCGAGCUCUGACUUUCUAUCUUUAUUUUUUCUCUUCCUAUCCACUAUAAUCAAAAUCAAAGAUUGACAGGAUUUUCUAUCUACAGCCAGGGAUCGAAUGAACUCUUUAAGGUUAUUAGUUUUGGAUCUCUCACAAGUUUCGGUUUCGCAUGCUAAGACAACUAAACUCAACAAUCAUUGUAGAUAUCAGAAAGGCAUCAUUACAUGUGAGGAUUCUGAAUUUAUACAUUGUUAUUUGAGGCAUUUGAGAAACACAAUAUGGAGAAUGACAUAACUAAUUGAGUAUAUCAACAACGAGUUUGAUAAGAAACAUGGCCUUACUUGGCAAUGGCAUGUACUGCGGUCACAAUUUUGAAUUCUGAGGUUUAUGGCGUCAGAAAUAUGGAUCGGAGUAAUUUAUCUCAACAUGGUGGUAAAUUCAACAGUUUUCUUCUCCCUUCUAGCUAAAGUAGCUUUAACGUAUGUUAUCUCCAAAAAAAUUUGUGUUUUCUCUGUUCUUUGUCUUAGGAUUUUAUGAACGUUUCAGCAUAUUUGGAUUGCUUAAAGGUGUGUUAGGGCCACACUUAGUUAGGCUUAAGCCAUAGCAACUGGUCUGUUCUUAUUGAUUGAGAAGGGGGAUGAACCUAAAUCCAAGGAAAAGGGUAUUUUAGCUAAUCCAAAUGAGGAGAAAACAAGUGCAUGCUUCUUAGUGUUGUUUUAGUUAAGCUUCAAACUGAGUCAUCUUCACCACAUGCCAUUUCUCCACUGAAGUUUAUCGAUUUUGAACAACUCCCUGGGACAUCCAAGAUCACCAAGCUGUGUGAUUCUGGCAGCGGUUUGGAAAAACUCAACUCAUACACGAGCUUCUUCGGAUGUUCAAUUAUGAUGGAGCAGUGAUGACCACAGUAAUGGUUGGGAUGUGAUAUCAAAAAGCACAUACAUGUAUAUAGGGGCGUUGAGUAUUCUUACAGAUAUUUGUACCUAAUUGUAUUUCUCUUUGGUAGCAGGUCGUAGUCUCAGCUAUUUGAGUUGAGUUGAUUAUCUUGCACAUUAAUUUGACAUUAGGACAAACUAUUGGAAUGUAAACUUUGGUUAAGAGUUUUGCCAACUUAGCAGCAUUGGCGCAGACAAUGAACUAACUUUUAUGGA